CAGGAUGAACGCUGGAGGCGUGCUUAACACAUGCAAGUCGAACGAGAAAGUCUCUUCGGAGGCGAGUACAGUGGCGCACGGGUGAGUAAUGAAUAGGAACGUACCUACUGGCGGGGAACAACCUCGGGAAACCGUGGCUAAUACCGCAUAAUAUCGAGAGAUCAAAGAAGGCCUCUGCUUGCAUGCUUUCACCAGUAGAUCGGCCUAUUUCCCAUUAGCUUGUUGGUAGGGUAAAGGCCUACCAAGGCUACGAUGGGUAGCUGGUNUGAGAGGANGAUCAGCCACACUGGAACUGAGACACGGUCCAGACUNCUACGGGAGGCAGCAGUNGGGAAUNUUGCACAAUGGGCGAAAGCCUGAUGCAGCAACGCCGCGUGAGUGAAGAAGGCNCUUGGGUCGUAAAGCUCUUUCGNUNGGGAAGAAGGGUUUUNNNGANUAAUACUCNNNAGAAUUUGACGGUACCNGCAGAAGAAGCACUGGCUAAUUCCGUGCCAGCAGCCGCGGUAAUACGGAAGGUGCAAGCGUUGUUCGGAUUGACUGGGCGUAAAGAGCGCGUAGGCGGGUUGCUAAGUCGAUUGUGAAAGCCCUGGGCUUAACCCAGGAAUGGCAGUCGAAACUGGUGACCUUGAAUGCCUGAGAGGUUGGCGGAAUUCCAGGUGUAGGAGUGAAAUCCGUAGAUAUCUGGAGGAACACCGGAGGCGAAGGCGGCCAACUGGCAGUGCAUUGACGCUGAGGCGCGAAAGCGUGGGGAGCAAACAGGAUUAGAUACCCUGGUAGUCCACGCCGUAAACGAUGGAUACUAGGUGUUUGGAGAGUUUAACCCUCUGAGUACCGGAGCUAACGCAUUAAGUAUCCCGCCUGGGGAGUACGGUCGCAAGGCUAAAACUCAAAGGAAUUGACGGGGGCC
rnacentral:rRNA from 1 species